AAUAGAUACCCAGGUAGUCCACGCCGUAAACGAUGAGUGCUAAGUGUUAGAGGGUUUCCGCCCUUUAGUGCUGAAGUUAACGCAUUAAAGCACUCCGCCUGGGGAGUACGGCCGCAAGGCUGAAACUCAAAAGGAAUUGACGGGGGCCCGCACAAGCGGUGGAGCAUGUGGUUUAAUUCGAAGCAACGCGAAGAACCUUACCAGGUCUUGACAUCCUCUGACAACCCUAGAGAUAGGGCUUCUCCUUCGGGAGCAAAGUGACAGGUGGUGCAUGGUUGUCGUCAGCUCGUGUCGUGAGAUGUUGGGUUAAGUCCCGCAACGAGCGCAACCCUUGAUCUUAGUUGCCAUCAUUAAGUUGGGCACUCUAAGGUGACUGCCGGUGACAAACCGGAGGAAGGUGGGGAUGACGUCAAAUCAUCAUGCCCCUUAUGACCUGGGCUACACACGUGCUACAAUGGACGGUACAAAGAGCUGCAAGACCGCGAGGUGGAGCUAAAUCUCAUAAAACCGUUCUCAGUUCGGAUUGUAGGCUGCUAACG
rnacentral:rRNA from 1 species